UACGUAGGGUGCGAGCGUUGUCCGGAAUUACUGGGCGUAAAGAGCUCGUAGGUGGUUUGUCGCGUUGUUCGUGAAAUCCCACGGCUUAACUGUGGGCGUGCGGGCGAUACGGGCAGACUGGAGUACUGCAGGGGAGACCGGAAUUCCUGGUGUAGCGGUGGAAUGCGCAGAUAUCAGGAGGAACACCGGUGGCGAAGGCGGGUCUCUGGGCAGUAACUGACGCUGAGGAGCGAAAGCGUGGGGAGCGAACAGG
rnacentral:rRNA from 1 species